GAGGGACGGGACGCGGGACGGAGAAGCCCCCCGCGGGAGGAGGGGCUGCCCCGCGGCCGGAUGGCGCGCGCCGGGGAGGGGCCGCGGGCCGCAGGCGGAAGCGGCCGACCCCAGCCCCCCGACUCGGCGUGGGCAGCUCGAAAUGACAGGAUGCGAGAGAACGAGCGACGUCCGGGCGCAGCCGGGUCCUCCCAAACCUCCCAGCCUCCCCGCACGGCCUCGGCUCCCUCCUAGGCUUCACGGGCCGCCCUGCUCAGGCUCCUCUCACCUCAUCAGACCGUCCUGGAAUUGAUUGUUUACCUGGCUGCCUCCCUUACUCUUCUGGGAGAGCCUUCCCGCAAGACAACACCGUGCCCUCUUUAUCAUUAUAACCCCGCUGCUAUUUAAAUACGCUACCUGGUAUACAGUAGGCACUCAAUAAAUACUUGUUGGCUAAGUGACUGUUCCUCCCAGGGAGCCGAACUGGAGACCAACACGGAUGAUCUUCAGAGGGUCAAAGCGGUUUAGGGAAGGAAGAGGGCUCAGCAUUCUGGGAGGUCAGCACACAACGCCUUGUUUAUGCGCCAGCUCGGGAGGACUGCGUGGUUUUGUUUCCUCACCUGUGAAAUGGGAGUAGUUAGAGUUACCUCCCAGGGGGUUGCAAUUAAAGGAGAUGACAGGUCGGUGGACCUAUAGCAUGCAGCACCCAUGCCUGCCCACUUUAGGUUUGCAGGAACUUGGAAGCUACUGUUAUUAUUAAGGAAAUUUUCCAUUUUUUCGGGGGCCGUAGGGAGCUUCUCCAUUCCGGUGUCAUAAACACAUAAAUUUAAAACUGCAUGUAUCAGUAGGUUCUCCCUCACUUCCCACGCCCAGGAAUUCUCUCCCACAGCACGCUGUUCCUUUCUUCACAGCACCAAUCACAAUUUUUGUUUAUUUGCUUGCUUCACUGUUUAUCUCUCUCUGCUCCCCCUCCCCCAGACAUUCUUCACCCUAUAGUGGUUUAAGUGCUCCUGGGAGUGGGAUGGGGGUGGGGAUGAAGAUAAGGCUCUUGCUUUUCGGGAGUUUGAUCCGGUGCUGCAGACAGGAUUCCCAAAACAACUCCACGGCACCGUGAUCAGGGAUCCUGGUUCAAGUCGCAGGAAGCAACGAAAAUACUUGCGUCAAGAGCAUUGUAGAGGGGGAGGGGGGAAGAGUGGUGAUAACUUCCAUUCACCUAUUGGGUUUUUCCUUGGCGUGAGGGGGUGGGGGGAGUCUGAGGAUUUUGGUAAAUAGAUUUAAUUGCUGUCAUGAUGUCCUGUCUCUCUAUGGGGGGCGGGGAGUGUAUCCUGGAUGAAAAUAAGCCAAGAAUCUGUUGAACUUGCAACUGAAGUUUAGAAAAGGCAAGGGCCACAAUUAAUCUGGAAACCUGGACACAGCCCUUUCCACUCCCUCAGUUACAGGAGGAGCCACCAGGGGGCAGUGUCUUCCUGAGCAAUGACUGAGUGGUGGGCUCGGGCCCCCACGCCGCCAAUGCUGCCCGCACUCUGCUCUCCUUGGCCCUUGCCCGGUACUGAAACACUCCACAGAAAGAUAUUGUCUUGCUGGAGCCUGGCAAAGGCCCAAGAAAAAUGACAAUUGAUCUAGUCAUUGAUGGUUGCAGUCGGACGCCACUUAUGAGUAGGUGGAAGAUGUCUGAUUCCAGGAUGCGGCUGCGACCCCAGCCAGGGGGAUCUGGCUUCCUUCCAAGCGUAGAACCUGAUUCCUUGUCUUUCAGCCAAGCCAGCACUUUUGUCCAUUGUUAAAAGUCAAAAGCCUCUGGGAUAAAAAAAUGAAAAUCGGAGCUAUGAGACGA